UACGUAGGGGGCAAGCGUUGUCCGGAAUCAUUGGGCGUAAAGAGCGUGUAGGCGGUCCGGUCAGUCGGUUGUGAAAGUCAAGGGCUCAACCCUUGAAUGCCGGCCGAUACUGCCGGGCUAGAGUCCGGAAGAGGUGAGUGGAAUUCCUGGUGUAGCGGUGAAAUGACGCAGAUAUCAGGAGGAACACCGAUGGCGAAGGCAGCUCACUGGGACGGUACUGACGCUGAGACGCGAAAGCGUGGGGAGCAAACAGG
rnacentral:rRNA from 1 species